UGCUCGUAGCGCAAGCCAUACAUGGUAUCAGAAGCGGCCCCUUGACCCCGGAGGGAACCGUCCUCGCGUCUGCUACUUCAAGGAUAUUCUGAAGACUCCGGAGCCAGUGCGGCUGUCCGGCAACGGCCUGCAAAAAUAAUUGAAGCAGCUGAAAACGGAAGCAUCAAAGGCGGCGCUACUGCUGAGCAUUGCCGGUGACGACGUGUCGGACGUCUUCAACAACUUCGAGUUCGGGCCGAACGAGGACAAGAACGACUACAGCACCGUGUGUCCCGUACAAUUGUGACCAAGCACCGCCUAGACAAAGCUGGUAAACCUUUGGUAGUA